CGCGUAGGCGGUUUGGUCAGUUGGAUGUGAAAGCCCCGGGCUUAACCUGGGAACUGCAUUCAAUACUGCCAGGCUAGAGUACGGUAGAGGGGGGUAGAAUUCCACGUGUAGCGGUGAAGUGCGUAGAGAUGUGGAGGAAUACCAGUGGCGAAGGCGGCCCCCUGGACUGAUACUGACGCUGAGGUGCGAAAGCGUGGGGAGCAAACA
rnacentral:rRNA from 1 species